AACGUAGGACACAAGCGUUAUCCGGAGUUACUGGGCGUAAAGGGCGUGUAGGCGGCCAACUAAGUCGGAUGUGAAAUCCCCAGGCUUAACUUGGGAACUGCAUCCGAUACUGGAUGGCUUGAAUCCGGGAGAGGGAUGCGGAAUUCCAGGUGUAGCGGUGAAAUGCGUAGAUAUCUGGAGGAACACCGGUGGCGAAGGCGGCAUCCUGGACCGGCAUUGACGCUGAUGAGCGAAAGCCAGGGGAGCAAACGGG
rnacentral:rRNA from 1 species